rnacentral:sRNA from 1 species
UUGAUUAAAGAUCAUUCAUAAAGUUUUAUUACUUUUCGGCUAUCGGGAUACACAAAUCAAUACCCAUUAGAAUUUUCAUUAUAACCCAUUUGGUACGGAGUUGAAUUGGUUGAUUUUGUCUUAAUACGAUUUUGUAGAAGCAUUUCCAAACCAGACGCAAUUUGGAAGAAAAAGGAUGAGGAAGCCACGGUCAUCAUUGGUUUAUCCGUGGAAGAUAAUCCACUUAUGCUCAUAAAAAAGGCUGGAAGUGCCAACGAAUCCUGGGGAAUACUGCGUUCUCAUCAUGAAAAGACACGCUCGGAAGUAGCGUACGCAUUAUGAGACAAUAUUCCAGUUUGAAAUAUUCAAUAGAUGGUAUUUUAAAUGAGCAUAUAAUGGAAAAUAAGGUUUUGGAAGCUGUCGGUGAAAAUUUUCAGAAAGAUUGCUAGUAGCAAUGCUACUGAGUAUCAUUCGCUUGUGACAGCUUUAGAAGUUCGGAAAUGGAAGAACUAACCGUUAAAGUCGUGGAAACGUGCUUGACUGAAGAAUGCCAAAAAAAAUAAGGAAAAUGUACCAUCGAAUAAAAAACUCAAUUCCACAUA